UGGGGAAUUUUGCGCAAUGGGGGAAACCCUGACGCAGCAACGCCGCGUGGAGGAUGAAGUCCUUCGGGACGUAAACUCCUUUCGAUCGGGACGAUUAUGACGGUACCGGAAGAAGAAGCCCCGGCUAACUUCGUGCCAGCAGCCGCGGUAAUACGAGGGGGGCGAGCGUUGUUCGGAAUUAUUGGGCGUAAAGGGUGCGUAGGCGGUUUGGUAAGUCUGAUGUGAAAUCUAUGGGCUCAACUCAUAGUCUGCAUCGGAAACUGCCGGGCUUGAGUAUGGGAGAGGUGAGUGGAAUUCCUGGUGUAGCGGUGAAAUGCGUAGAUAUCAGGAGGAACACCUGUGGCGAAAGCGGCUCACUGGACCAUAACUGACGCUGAUGCACGAAAGCUAGGGGAGCAAA
rnacentral:rRNA from 1 species